GGGCUGCUCCUUAGAAACCAGGAAAGCACAAGGUGUCACCAUUUCUUAGAACAGCUGCUGCAGAGGUGUGUUCGGUUCCCCGCACGCCUGCUAUAUUCUGAGACAAAGAAAAGGACUUCCAAAGUCCUUAAGAAAACCAAACUAACGAACGCUCGAAGUAGCAAUGCUGGCAGAAGGGAAACAACACUGUCUUUUCCUUCAAGGCCCCUUAGGAUUCACUCUGAGAAAACGCGCAAAGCAGGUCCCUGCUCGUACCCGAAAGCCCGCAAAGCCAAGGACCGACCCAGGAAAAGGGCAAGGAGGGUGCCCAGGGGGUGGUGGAAGUUAUUGCCGGUAUUUUAUCUCUUAAAAUGCACCAGGGAAGGUGAGGGCGGCAGGCGGAGGGGUCGGGGGUGGCAGGAAAAGGACCUCGCUCCCGGACCGCACUGCUACUCACGCUUCGCCACCCUCGGAGUCGCUGCCGGAGGGCCCCUCCUCGCCGACGUCGGGCAGGGUGGACAGCAGCGUUCCGGGGCCAGCCCCGGGGGGCACGCAGGCGUCCCGCUCUCGCUCUCCCGGGCCAGGCGGGGGCGGGUUUCGAGGGCUCGCGGCGCGCACGAGGGACGGCAGCGCGGCCCAGACCUCGCCGGGGCCCGGGGGCGGCCGCGCGGGAACCACCAGGCGGGCCGGGGAGCCAGCGGCGCUGCAGCCGCCGCCCGGGGGCGUGAGGAGCUGGGGCGGGGUUUUGGCCGCUCCCGGGCUGCUGGGCCACGAGGGCGGGGUCCCCACUGCUCCUGCGGCGCGGCCGGCGGCGGAGCCCCCGGGGUAGGAGGUGGGGUCCGGAGCCAGGGCGGGGAGCGGGGUCGGGGUGGCGGCGGCGCCCAGCGGGGUGCCCGCCCCGGAGCCCCCGGACCCUGCGACGGCAGCAGCUCCCGAGCGGCUGGAGGAGGGGCCCGCGGGGGGCGCCGUCGAGGUCCUGAAGAGUUUGGCCGAGAGAGGCCCGAGGUCCAGCACCGCGGCCUUCACCCUCCACCGUGGACGCGCCGCGCGAGAGCGCAGAGCGCGGGAUCCGGCCGAGGCGGCCCGCGCGGGGGCGAGGAGCCCGGCGUCCCCGCACCCGGAGCCCCGGAGGCCCCGACGCCCUCUCCGCCCCGAGGAACCUCCCGGGCGCUCAGCCCCGCGCCGCUGGGGUCGCCCCUCCCCGGCCCGGGUCCGCCCGCGGAGCGCCCCGGGCGCAGGGAGCAGCCCCGCCUCGCCCCGCGCGCCAGACGCCGCCGUUGCCCGGUUCCGCGCGCCCCUUUCCGCGCUCCCGACUAA
rnacentral:lncRNA from 1 species